AUACGGAGGGUGCAAGCGUUAAUCGGAAUUACUGGGCGUAAAGCGCGCGUAGGCGGCUUGAUAAGUCGGAUGUGAAAUCCCCGGGCUCAACCUGGGAACUGCAUUCGAAACUGUCAGACUCGAGUAUGGUAGAGGGUAGUGGAAUUCCCGGUGUAGCGGUGAAAUGCGUAGAGAUCUGGAGGAAUACCGAUGGCGAAGGCAGCCAUCUGGCCUAACACUGACGCUGAGGUGCGAAAUCAUGGGGAGCAAACAGGAUUAGAUACCCGAGUAGUCC
rnacentral:rRNA from 1 species